rnacentral:rRNA from 1 species
GAUGAACGCUGGCGGCGUGCUUAACACAUGCAAGUCGAACGGAAAGGCCCUGCUUUUGUGGGGUGCUGGAGGGGCGAACGGGUGAGUAACACGUGAGUAACCUGCUCUUGACUUUGGGAUAACUUCAGGAAACUGGGGCUAAUAUCGGAUAGGAGACCCCGCUGCAUGGUGGGGGGUGGAAAGUUUCGGCGGUCGGGGAUGGACGAGCGGCUUAUCGGCUUGUUGGUGGGGUAGUGGCUUACCAAGGCUUUGACGGGUAGCCGGCCUGAGAGGGUGACCGGGCACAAGACGCCUACGAUACGCCCCAGACUCCUAUGGGGGGCAGCGGUGGGAAAUAUUACACAGUGAGCCGGAGCGUGAUACGACGGCGCCGCGUGCGUAAUGACGGCUUUCUGGUUGUAAACCGCUUUCGCCUAUUACGAAGCGUGAGUGACGGUAAUGGAUGAAGAAGCACCGGCUAACUACGUG